rnacentral:lncRNA from 1 species
GUUGUCUGGUCGCUCUUGCCCGCCGAAGAUAUCACCACGCACAGCUCCCUGCCCGCGCCGGUGCCGUCGUCGUCGUUAUCCAGCACGUAGUUGUCCCGUGGAAGGUCCCAGUCUGCACCCUCCAGGUGGAGGAUCAGCUUCGGCACGGCGGGCGCCUUCUUCAUCGCCGGGAGGGAGAAGCACAGCCUGCCGUCGGCGUCGGUGUAGCCGUUGGCGACAGGUAGCUGUACUUGCG